rnacentral:rRNA from 2 species
AGACCCGAAACCCGGUGAUCUAGCCAUGGGCAGGUUGAAGGUUGGGUAACACUAACUGGAGGACCGAACCGACUAAUGUUGAAAAAUUAGCGGAUGACCUGUGGCUGGGGGUGAAAGGCCAAUCAAACCGGGAGAUAGCUGGUUCUCCCCGAAAGCUAUUUAGGUAGCGCCUCGUGAAUUCAUCUCCGGGGGUAGAGCACUGUUUCGGCUAGGGGGCCAUCCCGGCUUACCAACCCGAUGCAAACUGCGAAUACCGGAGAAUGUUAUCACGGGAGACACACGGCGGGUGCUAACGUCCGUCGUGAAGAGGGAAACAACCCAGACCGCCAGCUAAGGUCCCAAAGUCAUGGUUAAGUGGGAAACGAUGUGGGAAGGCCCAGACAGCCAGGAUGUUGGCUUAGAAGCAGCCAUCAUUUAAAGAAAGCGUAAUAGCUCACUGGUCGAGUCGGCCUGCGCGGAAGAUGUAACGGGGCUAAACCAUGCACCGAAGCUGCGGCAGCGACACUCAGGUGUUGUUGGG